UGAUCAGCCACACUGGAACUGAGACACGGUCCAGACUCCUACGGGAGGCAGCAGUGGGGAAUAUUGGACAAUGGGGGCAACCCUGAUCCAGCCAUGCCGCGUGUGUGAAGAAGGCCUUCGGGUUGUAAAGCACUUUUGUUGGGGAAGAAACCGGCCGGGUUAAUACCCUGGUUGAAUGACGGUACCCAAAGAAUAAGCACCGGCUAACUUCGUGCCAGCAGCCGCGGUAAUACGAAGGGUGCAAGCGUUACUCGGAAUUACUGGGCGUAAAGCGUGCGUAGGCGGCUUGUUAAGUCUGCUGUGAAAGCCCUGGGCUCAACCUGGGAACUGCAGUGGAUACUGGCGAGCUAGAGUGUGUCAGAGGAUGGUGGAAUUCCCGGUGUAGCGGUGAAAUGCGUAGAGAUCGGGAGGAACACCAGUGGCGAAGGCGGCCAUCUGGGACAACACUGACGCUGAGGCACGAAAGCGUGGGGAGCAAACAGGAUUAGAUACCCUGGUAGUCCACGCCCUAAACGAUGCGAACUGGACGUUGGGCACACUUAGGUGCUCAGUGUCGAAGCUAACGCGUUAAGUUCGCCGCCUGGGGAGUACGGUCGCAAGACUGAAACUCAAAGGAAUUGACGGGGGCCCGCACAGCGGUGGAGUAUGUGGUUUAAUUCGAUGCAACGCGAGACCUUACCUGGCC
rnacentral:rRNA from 1 species